UGAGGAAUAUUGGGCAAUGCCCGCAAGGGUGACCCAGCAACGCCGCGUGGAGGAUGAAUGUCGUAAGAUUGUAAACUCCUGUUAGAGGGGAAGAAUAGUACCGGUUGGACCGGUAUAUGACUGUACCCUCAGAGAAAGCCCCGGCUAACUACGUGCCAGCAGCCGCGGUAAUACGUAGGGGGCAAGCGUUGUCCGGAUUUACUGGGUGUAAAGGGCGCGCAGGCGGGAUAAAAAGUCAGUGGUGAAAUCCCACAGCUUAACUGUGGAACUGCCUUUGAUACUUUUAUUCUUGAGUUCGGGAGAGAGAGACGGAAUUCCAGGUGUAGUGGUGAAAUACGUAGAUAUCUGGAAGAACACCAGUUGCGAAGGCGGUCUCUUGGUCCGACACUGACGCUGAGGCGCGAAAGCGUGGGGAGCAAACA
rnacentral:rRNA from 1 species